UACGUAGGGUCCGAGCGUUGUCCGGAAUUAUUGGGCGUAAAGGGCUCGUAGGCGGUCUGUUGCGUCGGGAGUGAAAACUUACAGCUUAACUGUGAGCGUGCUUUCGAUACGGGCAGGACUUGAGGCAUUCAGGGGAGAACGGAAUUCCUGGUGUAGCGGUGAAAUGCGCAGAUAUCAGGAGGAACACCGGUGGCGAAGGCGGUUCUCUGGGAAUGUCCUGACGCUGAGGAGCGAAAGCGGUGG
rnacentral:rRNA from 1 species